CCUAGAGGUGGAGUUAACCCUGGAUAGUAAUUAUUGCAGUUACUAAAUAACUGCAAUAAUUGCAAGGUUAUGGUACAUGGGACUUUGCACCCAGACCACUUUAAUGACAUGAAGUGGUCUGGUGCCUACAGUGUCACUUUAAUGUAGUGUUAUUUAACUCAUGAGUCGGAUUUCCAUGCACUUUCAUUCGGUGCCCACCGAUUGGAGUACAUUUUAGGCCGUAGGCUAGGGUAGGUGGCCUUUAGCACUCCAGAUAUUGUAAACUACAUCUCUCAUAGUGCUGUUACAGUUAUAA